rnacentral:rRNA from 1 species
CCUACGGGAGGCAGCAGUGAGGAAUAUUGGUCAAUGGCCGAGAGGCUGAACCAGCCAAGUCGCGUGAGGGAAGACGGCCCUGCGGGUUGUAAACCUCUUUUGUCGGGGAGCAAAGCGAACCACGUGUGGUUCAUUGAGAGUACCCGAAGAAAAAGCAUCGGCUAACUCCGUGCCAGCAGCCGCGGUAAUACGGAGGAUGCGAGCGUUAUCCGGAUUUAUUGGGUUUAAAGGGUGCGCAGGCGGAGGGGCAAGUCAGCGGUCAAAUUGCGGGGCUCAACCCCGUCCUGCCGUUGAAACUGCAUCCCUUGAGGGCGCGAGAAGUAUGCGGAAUGCGCGGUGUAGCGGUGAAAUGCAUAGAUAUCACGCAGAACUCCGAUUGCGAAGGCAGCAUACCGGCGCGCAACUGACGCUCAGGCACGAAAGCGUGGGUAUCGAACAGGAUUAGAUACCCGAGUAGUC